UACGAAGGGGGCUAGCGUUGUUCGGAAUUACUGGGCGUAAAGCGCGCGCAGGCGGCUAUCCAAGUCAGUGGUGAAAGCCCGGAGCUCAACUCCGGAACUGCCAUUGAAACUGUUUAGCUUGAGGAUGAGAGAGGUGAGUGGAAUUCCCAGUGUAGAGGUGAAAUUCAUAGAUAUUGGGAAGAACACCGGUGGCGAAGGCGGCUCACUGGCUCAUUACUGACGCUCAGGCGCGAUAGCGUGGGGAUCAAACAGG
rnacentral:rRNA from 1 species